GGCAACCGUGAUCCAUCCAUCCCGAGUGUGUGAAGAAGGCCUUAGGGUUGUAAAGCACUUUCAGCAGUGAGGAAAGUCGUAAGGUUAAUUCCCAUGUGAUGAGACGUUAACUGCAGAAGAAGGACCGGCUAACUCCGUGCCAGCAGGCGGGGUAAUUAGGAGGGUGGGAGCGUUAAUUGUAAUUAAUGGGCGUAAAGCAAGGGUAGGUGGUUCAGUCAGUCAGAUGGGAAAGCACCGGGCUCAACCUGGGAAAUGCACCUGAUAAUGCUGAGCUAGAGUACGGCAGAGGGUAGGAGAAUAUCCGGUGUAGCGGUGAAAAAAGUAGAGAUUGGAAGGAACACCAGCGGUGAAGGCGACUACCUGGACCGAUACUGACACUGAGGUGGCAAAGCGUGGGUAGCAAACAGGAUUAGAUACCCUGGUAGUCC
rnacentral:rRNA from 1 species